rfam:Lactobacillus mixtipabuli DNA, scaffold: sequence03, strain: IWT30.
AGAUUUCUUCGGGGCAGGGUGUAAUUCCCGACCGAUGGUGACAGUUAGAUUGAACAAGCAAUCGCUACAUGGCUGAAGUCCGUGACCCACGUUAUUCGUGGUUGACCCAGUGAGAGUCUGGGACCGACAGUUAAAGUCUGGAUGGGAGAAGAAAAGA